rnacentral:rRNA from 1 species
ACGCUCGACACCUACGAGAGGCAGCAGUGGGGAAUAUUGCACAAUGGGGGAAACCCUGAUGCAGCGACGCCGCGUGAGCGAAGAAGUAUUUCGGUAUGUAAAGCUCUAUCAGCAGGGAAGAUAAUGACGGUACCUGACUAAGAAGCUCCGGCUAAAUACGUGCCAGUCACGCCGGACGGUAAUCUGGACGGCGGGUCGUGGACGAAGGC